rnacentral:rRNA from 1 species
AGCGGCCCUUCAAAGAGGGCUUGGAACAGGACGUCAUAGAGGGUGAGAAUCCCGUCUGCGACCGGCUGGCACCCCACACGUAGCUCCUUCGACGAGUCGAGUUGUUUGGGAAUGCAGCUCUAAAUGGGAGGUAAAUUUCUUCUAAAGCUAAAUACCGGCCAGAGACCGAUAGCGCACAAGUAGAGUGAUCGAAAGAUGAAAAGCACUUUGGAAAGAGAGUUAAAAAGCACGUGAAAUUGUUAAAAGGGAAGCGCUUGCAACCAGACUUGUCGACGGUGUUCCGCCGGUCUUCUGACCGGUUCACUCGUCGUCGGCAGGCCAGCAUCGUCUGGGGCCGCCGGAUAAAGGCUUGGGGAAUGUGGCUCCUCCGGGAGUGUUAUAGCCCCUCGCACAAUACGGCGCGCCUCGGGCGAGGUCCGCACUUCGGUAAGGAUGCUGGCGUAAUGGUCGUAAGCGGCCCGUCUUGAAACACGGACCAAGGAGUCGAUCAAUCGUGCGAGUGUUCGGGUGAAAAACCCUUGCGCGCAAUGAAAGUGAACGGAGGCGAGAACUUCGGUGCAUCGUCGACCGAUCCAGAUGUCUUCGGAUGGAUUUGAGUAAGAGCAUGCCUGAUCGGACCCGAAAGAUGGUGAACUAUGCCUGAAUAGGGUGAAGCCAGAGGAAACUCUGGUG